rnacentral:rRNA from 1 species
UACGUAGGGUGCGAGCGUUAAUCGGAAUUACUGGGCGUAAAGCGUGCGCAGGCGGUCUUUUAAGUCAGAUGUGAAAUCCCCGGGCUUAACCUGGGAACUGCGUUUGAAACUGGAAGGCUAGAGUGUGGCAGAGGGGGGUGGAAUUCCACGUGUAGCAGUGAAAUGCGUAGAGAUGUGGAGGAACACCGAUGGCGAAGGCAGCCCCCUGGGCUAACACUGACGCUCAGGCACGAAAGCGUGGGGAGCAAACAGG